AUUGAACGCUGGCGGCAGGCCUAACACAUGCAAGUCGAACGAGAUCUUCGGAUCUAGUGGCGCACGGGUGCGUAACACGUGGGAAUCUGCCCUUGGGUUCGGAAUAACUCUCCGAAAGGAGUGCUAAUACCGGAUGAUGUCGAAAGACCAAAGAUUUAUCGCCCAGGGAUGAGCCCGCGUAGGAUUAGCUAGUUGGUGAGGUAAAGGCUCACCAAGGCGACGAUCCUUAGCUGGUCUGAGAGGAUGAUCAGCCACACUGGGACUGAGACACGGCCCAGACUCCUACGGGAGGCAGCAGUGGGGAAUAUUGGACAAUGGGCGAAAGCCUGAUCCAGCAAUGCCGCGUGAGUGAUGAAGGCCUUAGGGUUGUAAAGCUCUUUUACCCGGGAUGAUAAUGACAGUACCGGGAGAAUAAGCCCCGGCUAACUCCGUGCCAGCCGCCGCGGUAAUAC
rnacentral:rRNA from 1 species